rnacentral:lncRNA from 1 species
UCCUCUGUUUCCUGUGGGACUUCCACCCGAGAAGAGAUCGUCCCCCCCCCCCCCCCCAAAGAAGGAAAGCCUCCUCCUUUUAUAGACUCGGCAUCCCCUCUCUUUCUUCCUCUGUGCUGAUCCGAAUGGGAGAUAAACUCGUGGAGGCUUGAUCUGAUCCGGAUGAUUGCAAUAUCCAAUUUGGACGUUGGGAAGAAGAUGCUGGAUGCUUGAUUUACGAAGAGGAUUGGGCGCAUGGGAAGAGGCAGAUGGUUGGAAGUUAAGAUUGGAUCCACGGAUAAGAAUGAACUCGGAACAGGGGAGCUGGGACGGGUUGGAUUCAUGGGCGAUGAAGUCUAUCCAGAUGGGAGGAAUGCCGUGAAAUCGGAAGAAGAUAAAGAUAAUACUCUGUUUCAAAGCAGGGAAAAGAAAUGCAUGAACUUGUCCGUGGAUAAGAGAGAUAUGGCUGGACUCUGUUCCGAAGGAAGAGGAUGCUGGGAGAAGUGGUUUGGGAUGUUCAUCCGAUUGGGAAUCAAGGGAUGCUGUGAGUUGGUUUGAGUCCGUAGGGGAUGUAAUCCGAGAUCCAGGGGAUCACAAGCGGGAUGAGAGCUGAACUGUGGGAUCUUAGAUGUGGUUGAUGGAAAGCUAGUUCGGUUGGGAGGAAGUGGAUGAAUACGGAGACGUGUAAGUUGAAACAGGGGAUUCUUCCAUGGAGGGGAUCGGGAUGUGAAGACUCGGAUCCUGUUCCGAAGCAAGGGAGUGUGUUUGGAUAAGGAUGGAAGAGAGAAAGCUGAGAUGGAAGAAGAUAAAGAUGCUUCUUUUAGCUCGGAACAGGGGAGCUGGGAUAAAUCUUGGAUGUUAUUCGGAGAAGAGGAUGAGGCUUGGAUGACGAUAGGAAGGCUGGGAGCUAGCGGAAUCUAGUUGGGAUCAUUCGGCUGGGAAGUUUGGAAUGCCUGUGAAGUCUUGAGAUAAGAGCUGGGAUUUUAUCAAUGGCUUCAUUCCGAAAGAGGAGAUAAAAAUGCAAGCUGGGAAGAGAGCAUACGGUUGGGAACAGGGGAUUCGGAUAAGGCUUGGAUUCGUAAGAGCUUAUCCGUGGAGAUGAGAACGCUGGAGAUGGAGACGCUGUGAAUAAAAACGGGGAGGGGGAUCUGGACGUGGACGUGGAAGGAAUCCGAAGGAAGUUUCCUGGGAGAUGGNNN